rnacentral:rRNA from 1 species
CCCUUAGAUGUUCUGGGCCGCACGCGCGCUACACUGUUCGACGCAGCGAGUCUUAACCUUGACCGAAAGGUUUGGGUAAUCUUCAGCAAAGUCGAACGUGAUGGGGAUCGAUCAUUGCAAUUAUUGAUCGUGAACGAGGAAUUCCUAGUAAGUGCAAGUCAUCAGCUCGCGCUGAUUACGUCCCUGCCCUUUGUACACACCGCCCGUCGCUACUACCGAUUGAAUGGUUUAGUGAGAUCUCUGGAUUGACGCUGGCUAGGGGGCGACCCUUGGCCAGGCUGUCGAGAAACUGCUCAAACUUGAUCAUUUAGAGGAAGUAAAAGUCGUAACA